UACGAAGGGGGGCUAGCGUUGCUCGGAAUGACUGGGCGUAAAGGGCGCGUAGGCGGAUGGCACAGUCAGAUGUGAAAUUCCCGGGCUUAACCUGGGGGCUGCAUUUGAUACGUGUUGUCUUGAGUUCCGGAAGAGGGGUCGUGGAAUUCCCCAGUGUAGAGGUGAAAUUCGUAGAUAUUGGGAAGAACACCCGGUGGCGAAGGCGGCGACCUGGUCCGACACUGACGCUGAGGCGCGAAAGCGUGGGGAGCAACAGG
rnacentral:rRNA from 1 species